rnacentral:rRNA from 1 species
AACGAACGCUGGCGGCAGGCUUCAUACAUGCAAGUCGCACGGUUAAAGCCCCUUCGGGGGUGUAUAGAGUGGCGAACGGGUGAGUAACAGGUGGAUAAUCUGCCUCCCGGUGGGGGAUAACGGCUGGAAACGGCCGCUAAUACCGCAUACGGUUGCCGGGCCUAUGGGCCUGGCAAAGAAAGGGGUUGCAAGGCCCCGCCGAGAGAUGAGUCCGCCCCCAUUAGCUUGUUGGCGGGGUAAUGGCCCACCAAGGCUUUGAUGGGUAGCCGAGCUGAGAGGUUGAUCGGCCACACUGGAACUGAGACACGGUCCAGACACCUACGGGUGGCAGCAGUAGGGAAUCUUGGUCAAUGGGCGAAAGCCUGAACCAGCCAUGCCGCGUGAGUGAUGAAGGCCUUCGGGUCGUAAAACUCUUUUCUGAGGGAAGAACCGCCGGAGCAGGAAAUGGCUUCGGCCUGACGGUACCUCAGGAAUAAGACAACGGCUAACUCCGUGCCAGCAGCCGCGGUAAUCCGAG